CAUUUACAAAAAGACGUUGACUGUAAAAGCCACAUAUAGAAAGCUUGGUAGACGUUGCAAAAACGCUACCAAAUGCAAAUGAAGUUCAAAACGAUCUGUCUGUUAUCGAGGGUCAAUGGGCUGAUCUUAAACGUGACCUCGUAAACCGGAAGUCUUCUAAUUGAUGGGAUGGUCAACAAAGUUAACGAACUCGGAUAAAUUGUCAAAGGGAGGUUUGUGAUUGGUCAAAGACAUUUCGUCAUCAACUGACGACAAAUGAAAAAGCUAGAUUCCAGAUUGGAAAACUUACGCCACGAGGAAACGGAGAUAAAGAAAGUGAUAGAAGCUCAAGUUAAGCCGAAUGCCAAUAAAGUUGAGAGAUGCAAGCAAAUUGUCGAAGAGUUGACAAAGGAAACCUCGGACGAGUCCAUAGAAAUGAUGAACGAAAAAUCACUGGCCGCUGACUGAGCCUUGAAGGCGCUAAGCAAAAAAUUAGAAACGUACGAAAUAAUAUUGGAAAGAAGCACAAGAAAAGAGUCUGACUUUCGGAAAUAUUGUCGGUCGAGUUAAGCUCCUGGAUUUCCGAUGGGCAUGACAAAGUGAAGUUAUGCAUUCCAGCUCUUGCUGAGGAUGAUUUGCUAAAAAAGCAGGAAGAAUUAUCGAAUUUACUGGAAAAAAGCAGAACACAAAAAAGCAGAGGAUUUGAAAAUUGUCACCGAAUGUGCAGUCGACUGAAAAAAACUUUGUCCAGGGCGAUGCUGAAGUCAUCGAGUCGAAGAAAUGUAAUCUCAGCACUGAUUUGGAUAAACUCAUAGAAUCAAUUUUGAAAGCCGAUCAAUGCAUUGUUGAAUUGCUUCAACGUUUACAUGAGUUUGAAAACCUAUCUGCCGAACUCGGAGAUAAAAUAAGCGAUGGUGAAAAGCAACUCAAGGAACACAAAAUUAUUCCACAUGAAGCAAGAACUGAUCGCCAUGUUGAGGCACUCAAGAUUCUACAAGGAGAACUUGCGUCGCUUGCUGCACAAGUUGUGUAUUUGGAAGACUUUGCUGCCGAACUGAGCAAAGACUCUCCAACCGGGAUGACUAACGCAAGCAGCGCGUGACGGAAACUGCCGAUGACAUCAACAAAGAUUCCGAUCUCUGAAAAUGAGUUUAGAUGCUGAAUGCGGAAAACUUGCUGACACUGUUCAACAGACAGAAAAUGUUCAAG